GCCUAAAAUCUAGCCCACACUACUCGCAUGACUUCCCCAAUCCCUUACCCUCAAACAAAACAUUUUCUCACUUUAGUACAGGCGAUCGAAAAAUUUAUAAGCGCUUCAGAUUAAGUACCGCAAGGGAAUGAUGAAAUAAAAAUGAAAUAACUUUAAAGCCUUAAACAGCAGAGAAUUCCCCUCGUACCUUUUGCAUCAUGGUCUAGCUAGUCUAACCAAGCAAAAUGUGAAUUUCAGUUUGACUCCCCGAAACUAAGUGAGCUACUUCGAAACAGCCCCAAGGGGCCAACCCGUCUCUGUUGCAAAAGAGUGGGAAGAUUUCCAAGUAGAGGUGACAAGCCUAUCGAACUUAGAGAUAGCUGGUUGUUCAGGAAAAGAGUCCAAGCUCUACCUUAAGUUUUUUGAUUUAUCUAAACAAACCCCUAGACUUAAGAGCUAUUCAAGUAAGGCACAGCUUACUUGAAACAGGAUACAACCUCCUACAUUGGGUAAACAAGAACAAUUUAAACAAAGUGGGCCUAAAAGCAGCCAUCUUACAAAAAGCGUUAAAGCUUAACUUACACACACUCAUAAUUCCGAUAGUUCUUAUUAACCCCUCAUUGUUACUGAACUAUUUUAUAAUCUUAUAAAAAUUAUUAUGCUAGAACUAGUAACAUGAAAUUACCUUUCUCCUUAAUGUAAGCUUCAACCAUAAUGGAUAAUCCACUGGUAUUUAACGUAACUGUCUUCAUUAUAGCAACAUACUACUAGAAAACCCUAUAACCACUAACGUUAACCUCACACUAGAGCAUUACAGGAAAGAUUAAAAGAAAGAGAAGGAACUCGGCAAACCCCCAGCCCCGCCUGUUUACCAAAAACAUCGCCUCUUGAUUAACAUAAGAGGUCCAGCCUGCCCAGUGACAUAGUUUAACGGCCGCGGUACCCUAACCGUGCGAAGGUAGCAUAAUCACUUGUUCUCUAAAUAGGGACUAGUAUCAAUGGCAUCACGAGGGCUACACUGUCUCCUCUCUCCAAUCAGUGAAACUGAUCUCCCCGUGAAGAAGCGGGGAUUUAAAUAUAAGACGAGAAGACCCCAUGGAGCUUUAAACUUAAUAUACACCUCUAUUUACCUACACCAACUAACCCUAAAGUCUGUGUAUUAGUUUUAGGUUGGGGGGACCGCGGAGUAUAACUCAACCUCCACGACAAACGGGCCAACGCCCUUAUCCAUGAAACACAAUUCUAAGAAUCAAUAACCUGAUGUUUUAUGACCCGACAAGUCGAUCAACGAACCAAGUUACCCUGGGGAUAACAGCGCAAUCUACUUUAAGAGCCCCUAUCGACAAGUAGGUUUACGACCUCGAUGUUGGAUCAGGGUAUCCUAGUGGUGCAGCCGCUACUAAAGGUUCGUUUGUUCAACGAUUAAAACCCUACGUGAUCUGAGUUCAGACCGGA
rnacentral:rRNA from 1 species